rnacentral:rRNA from 1 species
GACGAACGCUGGCGGCGUGCCUAAUACAUGCAAGUCGAACGCUGAAGGAGGAGCUUGCUUCUCUGGAUGAGUUGCGAACGGGUGAGUAACGCGUAGGUAACCUGCCUGGUAGCGGGGGAUAACUAUUGGAAACGAUAGCUAAUACCGCAUAAGAGUAGAUGUUGCAUGACAUUUGCUUAAAAGGUGCAAUUGCAUCACUACCAGAUGGACCUGCGUUGUAUUAGCUAGUUGGUGGGGUAACGGCUUACCAAGGCGACGAUACAUAGCCGACCUGAGAGGGUGAUCGGCCACACUGGGACUGAGACACGGCCCAGACUCCUACGGGAGGCAGCAGUAGGGAAUCUUCGGCAAUGGACGGAAGUCUGACCGAGCAACGCCGCGGGAGUGAAGAAGGUUUUCGGAUCGUAAAGCUCUGUUGUAAGAGAAGAACGAGUGUGAGAGUGGAAAGUUCACACUGUGACGGUAUCUUACCAGAAAGGGACGGCUAACUACGUG